UCCUUCUUAGCUCAGCUGGUAGAGCGCGUCACUAGUAAUGACGAGGUCAGUCGUUCAAGUCGGCUAGAAGGAA